CUCAUUUCUGUAUUCUCUGUGUAGAAUCUUUUUUCACUACUUGAAUAGUUUUAAAGUUAUUUGAAUCUACAUCUCAAUUUCCCAUACAGAAAGAUACAGCAAAUCCCGCUGAUUUCAGUUGGUCCUAAACUGGGAACCCAGGAUUGUAAACCUUCCAAACUCAAAAGGUUGCCUCUAAGCUUGGAUGAAUAUGUCUUGGGAUUGCUGUUCAAUCAUCUUUGCCCAAGAAGAGAAACACAAAGUGGAAAAGUCAGCCAGGGACCCCAAGACCCAGUCUUAGUUCACUUAGCAGAACAUUUGAUCCAGCUGUUCCAUCCAUGGUUGCAUCUUCCUCUUUUUUUCAUCUGAGAAGGCACAAGACAUAACAUCUUUCCAUGAAGUGUUUUUGAUAAUGAAAGAAUCUGACCAGAAUCCUCCUUAAAUUGACUGCCUUCCUGACCAUAAUCAAUAUGGUUUUCUACUAUUCCUUCAAAAGUGUAAUGUAAAGGUCAUGGUUCUAGGAUAUACAAAGUCUGCUGCUCGACAAUUGAUGGAAUCCUUAUCUACAUGUAGCCAGUGCCCAUUCCUUGAUAUCUGAGGUCUCAUCCUGAUAAUCCAGUGUGUAAGGAUCAGAUUUAUAAGAGGUUGUUGGCAUCGAGGCACAUUCUCACUUCAAGGUUACCAGAUGCAUAAGGAGCUGUUUGAGUUGAGGAGCCCAUUUGAGCACUCUGGCCAACAAGAUGAGAGCCCAACUAUGGGAACUGAUAAUCCUGUCUUUGAAGGCAAAUCAGAGGAGGAUUUUAGAAACAGAAGCAAAGAGACUCCCAUUCUUAAGCAUUCUCAUACUAGAACCUCUUGAGUAAUGAGCAGCUCAGCCCAGAUCCUGACCUGCCUUGACCAAGGAGAGAAGGGUUGCAAGUCCUACUGUUUGGGGCCAAGAUUCAGUGUCUUAUCCAUCAUGCCAACUUCUACCAUCAAUCAGAUGUCUCUAUUUAACCAUUAGAGCUAGGUCUGGGCCUGUUUUUUUUCCUUUGGCCAUCUGCUGUUCCCAUCAUAAAAUGGGCACAUGAUUUGCUUUGUGGUUUUUUUUUUCUUAAGAUCAUUUUGUACUUGGGGAUUUCUUUUUCAGAAAGGAGAUUAUUGGGAAUUAUGUUCUGUUUAUCUAAAUGUUUAAAUUAAAAUCAAUUAUUAAAACUAAAAAAAAUGUGACUGAAAGUGGGACAAAGGUAAUUCCAAGGAAAAGAUGAUAGAGCAGGGAGGUGGAGAAAGAGUCUUUUUCUCCAUCUUGAGGAAAAGAAACACAUGGAAGAACUAAUUUUCUUCCUAAUCCUCCUUGUAACCAGAGGUUUUGCAAGAGAUAUUGAUAGCAGAAAUACUGAUGGUAGGUGUGGUACCUAUAUGGUAGGUGUUGAUUAUAUCCCACUGGAUUAGAUAACUAUUUACAGAUAUUUAUUGCCUCCCCUACCAUCAUCUGUCACAUCAAAAGGAAGGGAUGGACUGUCUCUCACUUGUAUCUCAAAUAGUUCUUAUUUUUUUUGUUGGAAUCAACUAAUUCCUGACCACCAUACUUUUACUAUGCUGAUCUGCUCCUACCCCCAUGAAUGUUUUGUUCGCUCUACAUUGUCCCCUUUAAAGAUUUUUAACUCAUUUUCCUUAAUAUAUAAAAAUUAUUUUUGCA